GUCUUUUUGGUAGAGCAUGGUGUUUGCAACGCCAGGGUUGUGGGUUCGAUUCCCACGGGGGACG
rfam:Salmo salar isolate Sally breed double haploid chromosome ssa16, whole genome shotgun sequence.